GACGAACGCUGGCGGCGUGCUUAACACAUGCAAGUCGAACGGAAAGGCCCUGCUUUUGUGGGGUGCUCGAGUGGCGAACGUGUGAGUAACACGUGAGUAACCUGCCCUUGACUUUGGGAUAACUUCAGGAAACUGGGGCUAAUACCGGAUAGGAGCUCCUGCUGCAUGGUGGGGGUUGGAAAGUUUCGGCCGUUGGGGAUGGACUCGCGGCUUAUCAGCUUGUUGGUGGGGUAGUGGCUUACCAAGGCUUUGACGGGUAGCCGGCCUGAGAGGGUGACCGGCCACCUUGGGACUGGGAUACGGCCCAGACUCCUACGGGAGGCAGCAGUGGGGAAUAUUGCCCAAUGGGCGGAAGCCUGAUGCAGCAACGCCGCGUGCGGGAUGACGGCCUUCGGGUUGUAAACCGCUUUCGCCUGUGACGAAGCGUGAGUGACGGUAAUGGGUAAAGAAGCACCGGCUAACUACGUG
rnacentral:rRNA from 1 species